UUGUAAUGCUCCUUCCAGGCUAAAGAUUUCCUGUAUUAAGACCAUGCACGUGCUCCCAGACCUAGUUCUUUUUCUACCUCUGGUUUUAUAAAUGCUGGUGACAAAC
rnacentral:snoRNA from 1 species